AUGUGGGAACGGCGUUCCUGCACUUUUUUUUACAGCCGUUCCCGCUAUUUCUGCAAAUGCCCCCCAUGUUCCCCGUCAUGGAGGGGCCCAAGAGGUGGCCUGAUGGACCCCGACGGUGGGCGUCUGUCUCCAUAUCAGACGCGGCAAGGGAGCUGUGUUCUCGCUGCGCCGUUUGCUGAUGCUGGGAGCUGAAAUAUGACGUCAUAUUCCAGCUCCCUGCAUCAGUAGACUGCCCGCGUGGCGAGAGGGAGCAGAGAGAAUACAGCUCCCUUGCCGUGUCUGAUAUGGAGACAGGCGCCCGCCCCACUGCACCCCAGGGACAGGUCCACGCCAGCUCUCCAGGUAGGGAGGCUGGGUGGACAUUUUUUCAUUUAAAAAAAAUAAUUUGUGAGUGUGUAUGUGUGUCUGUGUGUGUGCACGCAUAUAUGUGUGUGUGUCAGUGUGUGUGCACGCAUAUAUAUAUAAGUGUAUAUUACUUGGGGGGGGAUCUUGGGUAAGUUAUGACACUUUACUCCCCAGGACUGGUGGUGAAAGAGAAACACACAGAAGCUGGUAAGAGUAAAAGACACAAAGGCUCUGGGAGAGUAAGAAACACAAAGGGGGGUAGUAAGCGAUACACAUGGGAGGUGUAAGAAACACAAUGGGGGAAAAAUAGGUGAAUAGAAGACAGUAAAGGGGUAAGACCUUUAAAAAGGGGGAUAAUAAACAAAUGGCAGGUUAGGAGGCACACAGGUGAAGCCCUUGGAUUGUAUCCUGCUGCCUGCAUCUCUGUGUAUAUUGGUCCAUCUUUCGUUCUAUAGCUGCAUGGUGGUGGAGAAGUGCCUGGAU